rnacentral:rRNA from 1 species
UACAGGGGGGGCAAGCGUUGUUCGGAAUUACUGGGCGUAAAGGGCUUGUAGGUGGCCAACUAAGUCCGACGUGAAAUCCCUAGGCUUAACCUAGGAACUGCGUCGGAUACUGGAUGGCUUGAAUCCGGGAGAGGGAUGUGGAAUUCCAGGUGUAGCGGUGAAAUGCGUAGAUAUCUGGAGGAACACCGGUGGCGAAGGCGGCAUCCUGGACCGGUAUUGACACUGAAAAGCGAAAGCCAGGGGAGCAAACGGG